CUUUUGAAGAAUGAGCCAACGAGUUACGGUGUGUGGCAAGGUUAACCCGAUGAGGGGAAGCCGGAGCGAAAGCGAGUCUGAACAGGGCGUUCAGUCGCAUGCCGUAGACCCGAAGCCGAGUGAGCUAUCCAUGGGCAGUGUGAAGCGGAGGUAAGACUCUGUGGAGGCGCGAACCGACUUCAGUUGAAAAUGGAGCGGAUGACCUGUGGAUAGGGGUGAAAGGCCAAUCAAACUCGGUGAUAGCUGGUUCUCCGCGAAAUGCAUUUAGGUGCAGCGUCGUGCGUUCAACGAUGGGGGUAGAGCACUGAAUGGGCUAGGGGUCCUACAAGACUACCGACCCCAAUCAAACUCCGAAUACCAUCGUUCCAGAGCACGGCAGUGAGACCUCGGGGGAUGAGCUUCGAGGUCGAGAGGGAAACAGCCCAGACCGCCGGCUAAGGUCCCAAAAUCUGAACUAAGUGGUAAACGAUGUGAGAUUGCGAAGACAGCCAGGAGGUUGGCUUGGAAGCAGCCAUCCUUGAAAGAGUGCGUAACAGCUCACUGGUCGAGUGAUCUUGCGCGGACAAUGUAACGGGGCUCAAGUUCAGUACCGAAGCCGCGGAUGCGACUCUUUGAGUCGUGUGGUAGCGGAGCGUCGAGCGUGCAGCGAAGCGGCGGGACAACCCAGCCGUGGAGCGCGUUCGAGUGCGAAUGUUGGCAUGAGUAGCGAAUGAGGGGUGAGAACCCCCUCCGCCGUAUGUCCAAGGGUUCCUGGGCGAGGCCAAUCCUCCCAGGGUGAGUCGGGAGCUAAGGCGAGGCCGAGAGGCGUAGUCGAUGCACAACUGGUUGAUAUUCCAGUACCACCAUGUUCGCGUCCGUCCCAAUACUCUGUUGCUAAGGGGCUGUGUUGACUUCGGUCAACGCGAACCGACCCACAUUGUUGCGGGAAGCUGUAGGGGGACGCAGGAAGGUAGAUGAACCCGGUGAAUGGUAGAACCGGGGUAAGCGUGUAGGAGGAGGACCAGGUAAAUCCGGGCCUCAUAAACUCUGAGACGUGAUACCGAGCCGCUUCAGGCGAAGUCAUUGAUCCUAUGCUGCCUAGAAAAGCCCAGCAGCGAGUUGACAUGGUGCCCGUACCCCAAACCAACACAGGUGGACAGGUAGAGCAUACCAAGGCGAGUGGGAUAACUAUGGUUAAGGAACUCGGCAAAUUGCCUCCGUAACUUCGGGAGAAGGAGGACCCCAGUAGCGUGAUGAGACUUGCUCUCUGAGCGUGAAGGGGUGGCACAAAAUUGAGGGAAGCGACUGUUUACCAAAAACACAGCAGCGUGCUAAGCCGUAAGGCGCUGUAUACGCUGUGACUCCUGCCCGGUGCUGGAAGGUUACGGGGAUGGGUUAGUCCUUCGGGACGAAGCUCUGAACCUAAGCCCCAGUAAACGGCGGCCGUAACUAUAACGGUCCUAAGGUAGCGAAAUUCCUUGUCGGGUAAGUUCCGACCUGCACGAAUGGAGUAACGACUUCCCUACUGUCUCAACCAUAGACCCAGCGAAAUUGAAGUACGAGUAAAGAUGCUCGUUAGCCGCAGAAGGACGGAAAGACCCCGUGGACCUUUACUAUAACUUGAUGUUGUGUUUC
rnacentral:rRNA from 1 species